rnacentral:rRNA from 1 species
GACGAACGCUGGCGGCGUGCUUAACACAUGCAAGUCGAACGGAAAGGCCCUGCUUUUGUGGGGUGCUCGAGUGGCGAACGGGUGAGUAACACGUGAGUAUCCUGCCCUUGUCUUUGGGAUAACUUCAGGAAACUGGGGCUAAUACCGGAUAGGAGCUCUUGCUGCACGGGGGGGGUAGGAAAGUUACGGCGGUUGGGGAUGGACUAGCGGCUUAUCAGCUUGUUAGUGGGGUAGUGGCUGACCAAGGCUUUGACGGGUAGCCGGCCUGGGCGGGUGACCGGGCACAUUGGGACUGAGGUACGGCCCAGACGCGUACGGGAGGCAGCAGUGGGAAGUAUUGCACAAUAGGCGGGAGCCUGAUGCGACAACGCCGCGUGCGGGAUGACGGCCUUCGGGUUAUAAACCGCUUUCGCCUGUGACGAAGCGUGAGUGACGGUAAUGAGUAAAAAAGCACCGGCUAACUACGUG